rnacentral:lncRNA from 1 species
GUAGAGUAUGAUCCUGUGUCCAUCAACACUUCCUAACGUGCAUGUAGAAGCUAAAAUUGUUAAGAUUUGCGAAAUACUUUUACCUCGAAGUUGGCAGUGACAUCAUUCUGUUUUUUCCUGGGUGCGGAGGAGUAAUUUCAGAAGGAGACAUUUUGUAAAAUUAAAAGAGGCAUGAGCUCCUCCUUCCUGGCAACCUGGGGGAUCACAAAGACAGACGGCACCUCCCCAGGCACCUGCGCCUGUGUCCGACGGCAAAGCCAUUGUCAAGCGAACCUGAUGCUGUCACUGGUCACCCGGAGCCCAUCAGCAUGUUGACCCGGGGCCCAUCAGCAUGUUGAAGGCACUUUCUUGCUGUUACAGGGGAGGAACUGCUAAAGAGGCCACCAGACACAGAACACAGUGAUAGUUUUAGGUGUAAAAUUAUUGCACACAGAUAAAUUCUGGAAACAGCUGCCUAGAAAGUUCUUUAUAUUGGAAAGUGUGCUUUGAGGUCAUUAUGCCGGAUUUUAUGGCCAUUUCUUGGCUGAGCCCCGGGAUGGCUUAUGUCUUUGCAGAAAGGCAUCAUCACAUUUUAUGAAUGACAGAUGGCUUUUACCACACCUUUGCAUGAUCGCUUAUGGUAAUAGGACUGCGGUGCCCUGAGACGUGGGGAUCUGCGUGAGUGCCCCCGGCAAAGUCUGCUCUUCCGGCCUCGAAUCUGGAUCCCAGUGGAGCAGUCACCACCGCACCCUCCCCGUAGCUCCAUCCCCACGCGUCCAGGAUAGCGUGGCCGCUGGUCAGCUGCCGACAGCACACAUAAGAAGUCAUGGAUGGGUCCGAGCGGCUUCCAGGACUCAGCACCCAAAGCAGCCCCGUCCUGACGGUAACAAGCCUGCCCCAUGGGGCGAGGCCCUCUCCCCUCUUCCUCAGAUUCACCCAACCCACUUCUGUCUGUCAAGAGCAGGCUUGAGGAACAGUCAAGCUUGAGUUCUCUUGGCCUUUCCUGGACAUCUGUCCUGAGGCUGCUCUCAUUUAAGCCUCACGGAGGAAACCCAAGUUUCUGCAGCAGGAGAGGGGCGUGACCCCAGGGACAGCCGGAGAAGACGGUGUAGAACCAGCUGUCACGGAGCCUGAUGUCCGGCCUGGAGCAUCAGCCCAUCACCUUCAGAGUGGACCCGAGGGCCUCACCUGCCACCUGGG